ACAAGAGAUGCUCCAUAGAAGGUCAAAUCAAAUAAAAUGAAUCAUGUACAAAAUUGAAACAUUUCAAGCCACGAAUUGCAAAAUAGUAGAUGAAAUUUUGUUUCUUAAUACAUAUACAGAGCAGAAAUUUGACCAUUAUGCUCCUAUAAAGGCCUAAAUAUUUUUAGACGAAAAAUUCUAGGAACGUUACAUUUAUUCAUCCUUGUAAUAUUCACGUCAUUUAUUAUUAUUAUUAUUUUCCACCUCGCUUUCACAGAUUAAAAUAUUAAAUGAAUUGAAUGAGAGCCUAAAUCCCAGAUCCAGCAAGUCGUCGCCUGGAGGCAUUUGAAACAGACACCUGACCAAGCCUAUUUGCUUCGCUUGUUUCCAUCCGUUCUCUGAGUGGCAUAUAAUGUCGAAGCCAUGCCCCAGUGUACACCUGUAGUGGUCUCAUUAUCUUUGUAUCAGGAUCAUCCAGUGACUCCCGCCAGUGUGCCAAGUAACCAGCCAUUCGAGGAAUUGCAAAUAAAACAGGGAAGAACUCCGUUGGAAAUCCCAUCGCUCUAUAUAUUAAUCCAGAGUAGAAAUCAACAUUUGGAUAUAGCUUCCUCGUAACGAAAUACUCAUCAGAUAGUGCAGCCUUCUCCAAAGCAACUGCUACCUCGAUAAGAGGAUCUCGACCGACAAUAGAAAAUACUUCCUCUGCUAGCUUCUUAAUGACUUUAGCUCUGGGAUCAUAGUUUUUGUAUACCCGAUGUCCAAAACCCGACAUCUUUCGCUUUCUGUUUUUCACACCCUCAAUGAAAUCUGGGAUGUUCUCAACAGUUCCGAUCUCAUUCAGCAUCUUAAGCACAGCCUCAUUUGCUCCACCAUGAAGAGGUCCAUACAAUGCUCCAACAGCCCCAGCAAGAGCAGUGUAUACAUCAACACCACUUGAUGCAAGAUGCCGGGCAGCAGCAGUGGAGCAAUUCAUUUCAUGCUCUGCAUGCAGUAUGAAAAGUAUAUCUAUCACUCGAGCAAGUCGAGGGUUAGGUUUAUAUGAUCGAUUACCUAGUGAAUCUAGCAUGUACAAGAAGUUCUCUGCAUAAGAAAGGUUGCUGGAAGGCAGAACUGGAGGCCUGCCUGCCAACCUUAAAUACGCUGCUGCUGCAAUGGUUGGUGCCUUUCCAAGAAUGCGAGCAAUUUGUUUGUCUCUCACUUGUUUGGAUUUGUAAAGAUCUUGCCCUCUAAGAGCAGGAUUAGCAUCAGGAUGAAAGAUUGAAAGAGCACUCAUUGCACUGACUAGCACGCCCAUUGGGUGUGCAUCAUGAGGCAUUGCCUGUAUAAUGUCCAAAAUGCCCUGUGGUACAGCUGAAUGUUGAGAAAUAGCAAAUUCCCAAUCUGCUAACUGACUUUCAGAUGGCAAGUUCCCAUACAAUAUGAGGUAGGACACUUCCAAAAAGGUGCUACUCUCAGCCAACUCCUCUAUUGGGUAGCCUCUAUAUCUGAGGAUACCUUCAUCACCAUCUAUGUAAGAAAUUGAUGACUGAACAGGAGCCGUGUUGAGAUAGCCCGGGUCAUAAAGUUUGAGCCCCUUAUCAUCCUUUCCAGCUGAUAUCUUUUUGAAAUCAGAGGCUUUGACGGUGCCAUGUUUAGAGACUUGAAUUUGGUACUUCUUACCAGUCCUCUCAUCAACGACAGUGAGAGUGCCCUGUAAGUUCUCCGGCGGAGAGACAUGAGCGGAGACACACUGGGCCUCCAAAACUGCAGGAGAAAUCGAGGACGCCGCAGCAAGGUGAGCUGCGAGCACGGCCAACCGGCCACGAGCGGACACGGAGGAUAAGGAAGAAUCAGAUUCUGACAUUGGUAGCUGGUUGGUUGGAUUGGAAGCGAAACCGAUAGUCGAUUGAUUACUUAGCUGUGUAUUAUUAUCUAAUUAAACGAAAGAAAUGAAGAAGAAGAAAGAGAUAUUGCUUUCUCUUCUGGAAGUCUUGAUUGAUCUGAACGGCCAGAGGAUAACGAAGGCGGCGUCUGCGUGUGGGUCAUUUUCUACGGGAAAAAAAAUAAAAUAAUAAUAAAGGCCAAAUUGCAUUAUUUUUGCCGC
rnacentral:misc_RNA from 1 species